rnacentral:rRNA from 1 species
GACGAACGCUGGCGGCGUGCUUAACACAUGCAAGUCGAGCGGUAAGGCCCUCGGGUACGACGAGCGGCGAACGGGUGAGUAACACGUGGGUGACCUGCCUUUAGCUCUGGGAUAAGACCUGGGAAACUGGGUCGUAAUACCGGAUAUGACCUCAUGACGCAUGUUGUGGGGUGGAAAGCCUUGUGCGGCUAGAGAUGGGCCCGCGGCCUAUCAGCUUGUUGGUGGGGUGANGGUCCUACCAAGGCGACGACGGGUAGCCGGCCUGAGAGGGCGACCGGCCACACUGGGA